rnacentral:rRNA from 1 species
AGAGUGGCGAACGGGUGAGUAAUGCGUGACCGACCUGCCCCAUACACCGGAAUAGCUCCUGGAAACGGGUGGUAAUGCCGGAUGCUCCAGUUGAUCGCAUGGUCUUCUGGGAAAGCUUUCGCGGUAUGGGAUGGGGUCGCGUCCUAUCAGCUUGACGGCGGGGUAACGGCCCACCGUGGCUUCGACGGGUAGCCGGCCUGAGAGGGCGACCGGCCACAUUGGGACUGAGAUACGGCCCAGACUCCUACGGGAGGCAGCAGUGGGGAAUAUUGCACAAUGGGCGCAAGCCUGAUGCAGCGACGCCGCGUGAGGGAUGGAGGCCUUCGGGUUGUAAACCUCUUUUAUCGGGGAGCAAGCGAGAGUGAGUUUACCCGUUGAAUAAGCACCGGCUAACUACGUGCCAGCAGCCGCGGUAAUACGUAGGGUGCAAGCGUUAUCCGGAAUUAUUGGGCGUAAAGGGCUCGUAGGCGGUUCGUCGCGUCCGGUGUGAAAGUCCAUCGCUUAACGGUGGAUCCGCGCCGGGUACGGGCGGGCUUGAGUGCGGUAGGGGAGACUGGAAUUCCCGGUGUAACGGUGGAAUGUGUAGAUAUCGGGAAGAACACCAAUGGCGAAGGCAGGUCUCUGGGCCGUUACUGACGCUGAGGAGCGAAAGCGUGGGGAGCGAACAGGAUUAGAUACCCUGGUAGUCCACGCCGUAAACGGUGGAUGCUGGAUGUGGGGCCCGUUCCACGGGUUCCGUGUCGGAGCUAACGCGUUAAGCAUCCCGCCUGGGGAGUACGGCCGCAAGGCUAAAACUCAAAGAAAUUGACGGGGGCCCGCACAAGCGGCGGAGCAUGCGGAUUAAUUCGAUGCAACGCGAAGAACCUUACCUGGGCUUGACAUGUUCCCG